rnacentral:lncRNA from 1 species
AUACGUGUUAUGUGUGUAUGCCUCAUCUGUUAUGUGGAAUAUGUAUUGAUUAAAGCAUGCUAUACAGGUUUUUAAACAAUGUAUAAAAAUGUAUAUUUUUAUCUACUAAUAUGUUGGGUAGAACAUGGGUAGAUAAUUGGUGUGAAAUAAACAGAUGAGAGGCCUCGGUGUUAUUGGUGUUAUUCUAGUCAUUCAGCAGAGUAUGGAUGACGACCACGGACUAUUCUAGACUGUCCUGUGGAACACUAGCAGGCUCAUUACCUGUAGGUGUUGUGAACGACGUGUUCACCGGUGUACUCUAUCCCCCACAUGGUUGCCUUUAGGACACUUAUUGUUGAGGAAGCCCCUCUGCAGUGAUGUCCGUCCCGAUGAAAAUCCUGAAAUAGGUUCCUUAUAAUAGACGUUAUUUUUAGGAACGUAAGGUGAGGAUAAUGGGAAUGGGUAAUCGGGUUUAUUGUUGAUUGUUGAAAUUAAAUAUAAUUAUUGUGGGUUGAAAACCCUAUAUGCUCACCAGGUCCCAUGCCUGACCGACUCAGUUGAUUUGUCUUACAGGAAGUGGCGCAAGAGCUUAAGAUGGGCGAAUCAUCAAGUUUUUUUGUUUGCAAGUCUGUAUAUGUACAUAUAUGUUGAAUGACUUGUAAUGCUAUCGUUUAUGCUUUAUGAUCUGUAUCGGAACAUGACAUCUCGACUUUUGAUUAUGAAAUGAAAUCAUAUUUCUUUAUGAAAUGUUUUAGAUAAAUAUCUAUUUAUCAUGUUUUGUUUUUGGGAAAAAAUUCCGCAUCUCUUUUAUAACUAAAAGGAUUUACUCUGAAAAUGUUUAAAAAGCAUAAAUGAAACCGGUCUUUUCUGGCCGAGAUUUUGGGGAUGUCACAGUUGGUAUCAGAGCAUUAGUUUAAGCGAACUAAGAAUUUGUAGGAUUUCUAGACUUAAACUUAGGAUGCUAAGUGGAGAUUGUGAGAUGUGUGUCUGAUAAAUUUUAGACACGAGCACUAGUUUAUUUUAGGAAAGUUGCCUAAAAUGCUUUUAUGUUCUAAAUGUUAUAUGUUACCAUACAUGAUAUUAAUUGUUCGGAUCUACGGUUUGUUGCCAACCGGAUCUCAAGGUUUAUGUGUUUAGGAUUCUAAGCGUAUGUAUACGAAAUUAGAACUAGCAUGUAAUCAUUUGGAGUAAUAAGGUGAAAUUAUUCGGUGUAUAGAUCAAAAUGGUGAGAACAAGAAGCGGAGUUGGAAAUGCUGAUGAGAACAGGAAUCAACCGUCUGUAAUUCAACAAGUACCUGUCGUAGUUGCUGCACCUGAGCCGAUAACAAUGGCUGGUGUACAAAUGAUGAUUCAAACGAUGUUGGAUCGUCAGACGGAAGAAACAAGACGCCUGGUUAGGCAGAAUCGUGAAGAACCGUCAAUUCAUGUAGAAGAGCCUGAGGAGAAUGGAGGGCAGUCUGAAGGAGAAAACUUUAGUGGGAUUAUUGGUCAAGAAAACCCACCAAUGGUUAGACGCAAUAACCAGUAUGGAGGAAAUCACGGUCGUGGGUGCAAGUACAAGGAUUUCAUGGCAUCCAAACCACCAUGUCUAUCCGGAAGCCCGACGCCGGUGCAAGUUAUGGACUGGGUCUCCGAAAUGGAGACUAUGUUUGAAAGUUGCGAAUGCAGCAACAGGCAGAAGACCGCUCUUGCGAUCCCUCUGCUAAAAUCUGGCGUGUUGAGUUGGUGGAAGCUGUUAGCUGACUCUAUGCCCAAGGGAGAAGCAAGCAAAAUGUCUUGGGAAGACUUUGUGGAACAACUAAAACUGCAAUACUGCUCCGAGCAGGACCUUCUGGAAAUCAGUAAUGAGUUUCAGAAUUUGAAGAAAGGGAAAUUGAGCGUUACUAAAUACGCUGCAAGUUUCACAGAAAAGAUGAAGUUUAUCCCAUAUUUGGUGCCUACAGAACUCUCUAAGGUCAACAAGUUUGCCCUUGGACUACCAGCGGACUAUGGUCCAAUGGUUAAGCAAGCAACCACAUUGAAAGCCGCCAUCUGGGCUGCUAGAAAUGUUGAGACCCAGAUCAGGGAAAAAGGUCUGGAAAGGUCAGAGGUUGGCGAGAAAAGGAAAAUCGAUGGAUUUUCAGGGUCCAGCAAGAAAAGUAAAUUCUCGAAGUCUAGUUCGAGAGGAAGUGGAGGAAAGGUAGAGGCGAAAUGGUGCGACAAGUGCAAGAAGAAGCAUCAUGGGAAGUGUGGCGGGGAAACCACAUGCUUCAAAUGUGGAAAGCCAGGGCAUUAUGCCAAUGACUGCACCUUCACCAAGAAUGUUUGUUAUGGUUGUGGUGAGGAGGGGCACAUCUCAAGGGAUUGUCCGAAAAAGAAGGAAGCAGCAAGACCCAACAUUCCGCCAAAGCCAAAGGCGAGAGCAUUCCAGAUGACACUGGAAGCUGCUAAAGAUGAAGCUGAUGUCGCUUCAGGUACCUUUCUCGUUAACAAAUUGCCUGCCCAAAUUUUAUUUGAUUCUGGAGCCAACUACUCCUUUAUAUCGCAUGAAUUUGGUAGAAAACUAGCUUUGCCUGUUGAUAGACUAGAUAAUGCUUUAUUAGUCGAAGUUGCUAGUGGCAAGUUUGUACCUGUUAGCCAUCGUAUGAAAAACAUCUUAAUUGACUUGAAUGGGAAUAAGUUCCACGAGGAAUUAUUGCCUAUCGAACUUAACGGUUUCGACAUCGUUUUGGGAAUGGAUUGGCUUAGCGCCAAUGAUGCCGAAAUUUUAUGCAAGAAGAAAAUAGUGAAAGUGAACCCACCUGGGAAGGAAUCGUUUAUGGUGUACGGAGAUAAACGCAGAGUAAAUUCUGGAAUCAUUUCUCUAAUGAAAGCCAGAAAAUGUUUGACCAAGGGGUGUACAUCAUACUUAGCAUUCGUGAUCGACGCUAAGAAGGAAAAGAAGGUGAUGCAAAAUAUUCCUGUUGUGUGUGAUUAUCCGGAAGUAUUUCCCGAAGAUCUUCCUGGAUUACCGCCCGAUCGACAAGUAGAAUUUCGUAUUGACUUGUUGCCCGGAACAACGCCAAUUGCAAAAGCACCUUAUCGAUUAGCACCAAUGGAGAUGAAGGAGCUGAUGAUGCAACUUCAGGAGUUAUUGGACAAAGGUUUCAUAAGACCUAGUUCAUCACCCUGGGGAGCUCCGGUGUUAUUCGUAAAGAAGAAAGAUGGAAGCAUGAGGAUGUGCAUUGAUUACCGAGAGCUGAAUAAGGCCACAAUAAAGAAUAGAUAUCCGUUGCCGAGGAUUGAUGACCUAUUCGAUCAACUACAAGGUUCAAGUUAUUUCUCGAAGAUCGAUCCAAGGUCAGGAUAUCAUCAGCUAAAGGUAAAAGAGCAGGAUAUCGAUAAGACUGCAUUCAGAAUGCGAUAUGGACACUAUGAGUUCUUGGUUAUGUCGUUUGGACUGACCAAUGCUCCCGCAGCAUUCAUGGAUUUAAUGAACAGAGUUUGUAACCCGUUCCUUGAUAAAUCUGUGAUAGUGUUCAUAGAUGACAUUCUGAUUUAUUCGAAAAGCCAAGAGGAGCAUGGCAGACACUUGCGAGAAGUGUUGGAAGUGUUGAAGAAGGAGAAGUUGUAUGCGAAGUUCUCCAAAUGUGAUUUUUGGAUUCGAGAAGUCCAAUUCUUGGGUCACGUGGUCAACCAAGAAGGGAUAAUGGUUGAUCCAGCGAAGAUCGAAGCUGUGAUGAAAUGGGAACAACCGAAAAGUCCCACGGAGAUUCGAAGCUUUUUAGGAUUAGCCGGAUAUUACCGAAGAUUUAUCCAAGGCUUUUCUUCGAUCUCUAGUCCAUUAACAGCUUUGACCCACAAAGGAGCUACUUAUGCUUGGAAUGAUAAGCAUAAAGAAGCAUUAGAGAAGCUAAAGAAGAAACUAUGCGAGGCACCGAUACUUUCUCUACCCGAUGGAGUUGAAGACUUCGCUGUUUCUAGCGAUGCGUCUGGUGUUGGAUUGGGUUGUGUUUUGACCCAAAGAGAUAAGGUGAUCGCGUAUGCAUCUCGACAGCUGAAAGAGCAUGAAAAGAACUACUCGACUCAUGAUUUGGAGUUAGCAGCGGUAGUUUUCGCUCUGAAAAUAUGGAGGCAUUACCUCUAUGGCACGAAGUGCAAACUUUUCACUGAUCAUAAGAGUCUCCAAUAUCUCUUUAGUCAGAAAGAAUUGAAUAUGAGGCAACGACGCUGGCUAGAAUUACUUAAAGACUACGACUGCGAGAUACUUUACCACCCCGGUAAAGCUAAUGUUGUUGCUGAUGCUCUCAGUCGGAAAGUCAAUCUUGAAAGGAAAAGGCCAAGAGCGUUGAGAAUUGAAGUUGUCUCGACUAUUUUGGAAAGUAUAAAGAAAGCUCAAAGCGAAGCUUCUGAGAAGAAUGACCGAAAGGAGGAACGUUUGGGCAAAACGUUGGUGUUCGGUGUAAACAGUCACGGACUGAAGGUGUUCCAAGAUCGGAUUUGGAUACCUAAGACAGGAGGAGUCAGAGAUCUUCUGAUGGAAGAAGCUCACAAAACCAUGUACUCGAUUCAUCCCGGUAGCACAAAAAUGUAUAGGGACCUGAAACCCUAUUAUUGGUGGCCGACGAUGAAGCUCGACAUUGCGAAGUAUGUGGCCGAGUGUGUGACUUGUGCAAGAGUCAAGGCACAACAUCAGAAACCAUACGGGAGUUUAGAACCAUUGCCUGUGCCUAUGGGUAAGUGGGAAGACAUUGCUAUGGAUUUUGUCACUAAACUGCCCAGAACAAAGAAUGGUCACGACAUGAUUUGGGUGGUCGUUGAUCGAUUCACUAAGAGUGCGCAUUUCAUAGCAGCCAAGGAGAAAUGGUCUAUGGAAAAGCUUGCGAAUUCUUACGUGAAGGAAAUUGUGAGGCUUCACGGUGUUCCGUUAACGAUUGUGUCGGAUCGUGAUAGUCGUUUCACCUCACGAUUUUGGAAAAGUCUACAAGAGGAAUUGGGUACCAAGUUGUGUUUAAGUACAGCUUACCAUCCGCAGACUGAUGGUCAGAGUGAAAGAACGAUACAAACACUUGAAGAUAUGCUGAGAGCGUGUACCUUGGAAUUCCUAGGUAAUUGGGAUGAACAUUUGCCUUUGGUAGAAUUUUCCUAUAAUAAUAGUUUUCACUCGAGCAUAAAGAUGGCACCUUAUCAAGCAUUGUAUGGACAGAAGUGUCGUACGCCGUCUUGUUGGCUUGAGGCUGGGGAAAAGCAGUUUAUGGGACCGGAGAUGGUUCAUCAAACUGCUGAAAAGUUGAAAAUAAUUAGGGAAAGAAUGUUAGCAGCUCAGGAUCGUCAAAAGAGCUAUGCUGACAAAAAGCGAAGACCGAUGACUUUUGAAGUUGGAGAUUCGGUUUUGCUUAAAGUCUCGCCGUGGAAGGGACUUAUAAGAUUUGGUAAAAGGGGAAAGUUAAGUCCAAGGUUUAUUGGACCGUUUAAAGUUCUUCAGAGGAUUGGGAACCAAGCUUACAAGCUCGAACUACCAGAAGAACUGAAUGGAAUUCAUAACACUUUUCAUGUGUGUUACUUGAGGAAGUUCACGGGAGAAGUUCCCGACAUAAUUCCACUUUCGGAGUUGAGGAUCGAUGAGAACAAAAGGUUGAUUGAGGAACCGGAGGCAAUCGUUGACCGAAAGACUAAGAAAUUGCGACGUAAGAUGGUUGAGUUAGUGCUUGUCCGAUGGAAACACACGAAUGGGCCGAAUCUCACCUGGGAGACGGAGAGUGACAUGAUGAGUCGCUAUCCGCAUUUGUUUGCUGGUGUGUGAUUCCGGGGACGGAAUCAUUCUAAGGUGGAGAGAAUUGUAACGCCCGUGUUUCUGGGAUUGCCAUUUUUAGCAAUGUAAUAGUCUAGGUUAACCUUUGUAACCCCAAUUUGAAAUAAUAAAAAUGUAUUAUUUGUGAAUUAUGUGAAUUAUGUGAUUUAUGUGUUUAUUUUCUUAAUUAUUAUAAUUUAAUGAAUUAAGAAUAAAAUAAGCGUCAAAAUUAAAGUGUGAGAUAAGCCCGAUAUCUUUGCAUAAAGUUGUAGUGGUUGAAACAAGGAUUCCGGAGAUAUAAGGAAUGCCAAAAUCCGAGUUAUAACGAAGAAGUUAUGACCUGUCGAAGUUUCGCGACAGAACCGGCACGACGUCGAGUGACGUAAAAUAUGAAUUUAAGAUAGAGCGAUAUUUAGCCUUAGCGAUCUAAACGAAAGUCGUAGAUUUCGUUAAACCGAGAGCGUGCAUAAAAGGAACGCCCAAAUCUGACUUCGUAUGAGGAAGUUAUGAUUUUUCUAAGUUUCGACUUAGCAGUAUGCAGCCCGAAUACUCGAUUUGAGAUCGAGCGGUUUUUAGCCGAAACAAUCUAAAUGAGAAUCGAAGAUCUCGUUGUUAGUAGCGAAACGAUGAAAAGUUAGGCGAGAACGGACGUCAGACGAAGAAGUUAUGAAUUUAUAACGAAGUUUUUCUGUCCCGGCCUUCUAAAAAUAAAUAAUAAAAAUAAAAGUCAAAAUUAGCCGACGGAGUCUAAAUGAAAGUUGUAGAGUAUGGUCUGACCUUCGCGUGGAUAUAAAGAACGUCGAAAACGGAGCUCGUAUGCGAAAGUUACGCAAUUUAGAAGUUCGACGAGUCAAUUACGCCCCGCGUAAUUGAGUACGCCCCGCGUACUCAGUCGGAUGCAAGUUGCCUGACCAAUACUCGAGUGCCACAGAUCGACGCAUGCAGUGACGUCAAAGUACGCCCCGCGUACUGAGUACGCCCUGCGUAAUUUGAGAUUACGCCCCGCGUAAUCCCAGACCCUCAGCCUAUAAAUAGAACUCGAAUUCAGCCAUUUUCUCUUGUUCAAACUCUUCCCUCUCUCUAAGUUUUGCCUCGAUUUGCGUGCCAAUCAUAUCCCGAAGCCCCGGUAUCAUUCCCGAGCCCCGAAGCAAGAUCCGAAGCCCCGAGGAUCCCGAAGAGCGUUAUUCCCGAGCCGAAGCUCUGCCCGCGAGGAGUUCGAUUUUGGUGAAGAUCUUCCAGAUCUAUCGAAGUAUACUACUUCUAUAAGCCGUAGUGCUGUCGGAUCAUCUUCUGAUCAAGUGAGUGUGUAGUUAUUUUCUUUCCAACGCAAUAUUAUGAAGUAUUUAAUAUAAAAUACAUGCUAUGUGUAAAUAUUUUGUGGUUAUAUGUGUGAAUGUAUAUUCACUCUCUUCUAUCUCAUAGAUCUGAUAUAUUCUCUAUGAAAUACGUGUUAUGUGUGUAUGCCUCAUCUGUUAUGUGGAAUAUGUAUUGAUUAAAGCAUGCUAUACAGGUUUUUAAACAAUGUAUAAAAAUGUAUAUUUUUAUCUACUAAUAUGUUGGGUAGAACAUGGGUAGAUAAUUGGUGUGAAAUAAACAAAUGAGAGGCCUCGGUGUUAUUGGUGUUAUUCUAGUCAUUCAGCAGAGUAUGGAUGACGACCACGGACUAUUCUAGACUGUCCUGUGGAACACUAGCAGGCUCAUUACCUGUAGGUGUUGUGAACGACGUGUUCACCGGUGUACUCUAUCCCCCACAUGGUUGCCUUUAGGACACUUAUUGUUGAGGAAGCCCCUCUGCAGUGAUGUCCGUCCCGAUGAAAAUCCUGAAAUAGGUUCCUUAUAAUAGACGUUAUUUUUAGGAACGUAAGGUGAGGAUAAUGGGAAUGGGUAAUCGGGUUCAUUGUUGAUUGUUGAAAUUAAAUAUAAUUAUUGUGGAUUGAAAACCCUAUAUGCUCACCAGGCUCCCAAGCCUAAACCACUCGGUUGAUUUGUUUUACAGGAAGUGGCGCAAGAGCUUAAGAUGGGUGAAUCAUCAAGUUGUUUUGUUUACAAGUCUGUAUAUGUACAUAUGUGUUGAAUGACUUGUAAUGCUAUCGUUUAUGCUUUAUGAUCUGUAUCGGAACAUGACAUCCCGACUUUUGAUUAUGAAAUGAAAUCAUAUUUCUUUAUGAAAUGUUUUGGAUAAAUAUCUAUUUAUCAUGUUUUGUUUUUGGGAACAAAUUCCGCAUCUCUUUUAAAACUAAAAGGAUUUACUCUGAAAAUGUCUAAAAAGCAUAAAUGAAAUCGGUAUUUUCUGGCCGAGAUUUUGGGGAUCUC